GUGGCCGUAGUUCAGCGGUUAGAGCGCCAGGUUGUGAUCCUGGAAACGCCGGUUCGAUUCCGGUCGGUCACC
rnacentral:tRNA from 1 species